rfam:Ictidomys tridecemlineatus contig066307, whole genome shotgun sequence.
UGGGUUGUGGCUCAGUGGUGGAGCACUUGCCUAGCCAUGUAUGAGGCACUGGGUUUGAUUCUCAGCACCACAU